rnacentral:rRNA from 1 species
GACGAACGCUGGCGGCGUGCCUAAUACAUGCAAGUCGAGCGGAUCAAUAGGAGCUUGCUCCUGUUGGUUAGCGGCGGACGGGUGAGUAACACGUGGGCAACCUGCCUGUAAGACUGGGAUAACACCGGGAAACCGGUGCUAAUACCGGAUAAUCCUUUUCCUCUCAUGAGGAAAAGCUGAAAGUCGGUUUCGGCUGACACUUACAGAUGGGCCCGCGGCGCAUUAGCUAGUUGGUGAGGUAACGGCUCACCAAGGCGACGAUGCGUAGCCGACCUGAGAGGGUGAUCGGCCACACUGGGACUGAGACACGGCCAAGACUCCUACGGGAGGCAGCAGUAGGGAAUCUUCCACAAUGGACGAAAGUCUGAUGGAGCAACGCCGCGUGAGCGAUGAAGGCCUUCGGGUCGUAAAGCUCUGUUGUUAGGGAAGAACAAGUACCGGAGUAACUGCCGGUACCUUGACGGUACCUAACCAGAAAGCCACGGCUAACUACGUGCCAGCCGCCGCCGUAACAC